GGGUAAAGGGGGAGAGGUACCAAGUUUAGAAGGCUAUGAUUGGUCCAAAGGGCAAGUCACAAACGGAUUUCUCGGUUAUCAAAAAAAGGGAUUUUGCAGAGACUUUCGAGAUCUUCCAAAGUAUUGAUGACAAGGUUAUUGGAUUUCUGCUUUUGAACAUGUAUCUGCGUACCUACACUCUAUCAUAAACUCUGGAUCAGUCCUGGAACAAUCUAUGUAUUCCUUUAUCUCCAAGCGCAGUGCCUUGUUUGAACAACUUGUGAUCUUCCUGACUACGAAAUCUCUGGAAGGUCUUCGUGCAAGUCAACUUGCAUGUUGUAUAAUUUCAGAACAAUGGUAACAGUGGUGGCUGUUCAGAAAAGCAACCUUUGCAUCCACUGUAGCUCUGCUACUCCAGAUGAAUCCAUUCUUCAAAAGUUCUGGAAGCUUUGUUAUCGCCAACUAAAUAUUCCAGGUGGUUCCAUGUUUCUAUUUGAUCGGAAUUUGGAAAGUACUACGAGAUUUCCGUAAAGAUGGUCACCAUUGGAGGAAGAACAAGGAUGAUGAAAUUGUUAAUGAAACUCAUGAAAAGAUGAAGGAUUUUAAAUCUUCUGUCUUUCUGGUGAAAGAGGCAUUUUUUCAAAAUGGUGAGAAGGAAGCUCGUAGAAUCUUGUAUAAAAGAAUUGAACUUCUGUGCUACUGAGAGUCGUGGGGAAUUACAGGACUCGGUCCCUAACAAAUCAAAGGGGAUUGAAGAUGAGCUCAUUAUCAAACUUAAAUCUUCUAUAAUAGAAGUUGAUGUAUGUGCCGUUAACAAAUUAAAGGUUGUAUGAACUUCAAUUGUCAAGGAAAAUACCCAUUGAAAGCUUGCAUAAAGAUCUUGCAGAGAUUCUCAAAAACUUCAGAAGUAUUGAUGACGAGCUUUGUGUUGUUUUUUCAGAACAAUAGAACAAUGUUGGUUGUUUCAGGAAAGCAACGCUUGCAUCCACAGAGCUUUUUGGGUACACUCCAGAUGAAUCCAUUCUUCAAAAGUUCUGGAAACUUUGCUAAUGCUAACAACAUAUUUCAGAUAUUUUUGAAAGCCUUGGAGCAACUUUAAAUGUUGCUAAACCAACAAAAGGUUCAAGUGUGGCUAAAUUUUUGACUGGGGUCAUAGGCUGCAGAAGGAGCAAGAAUUGUUGGUGCUUCAACAAUAAUUGGUGUUGAUUUAAAUGCUAGCAUAUUUGAGCAAGGUCCAGGUGCUCAACAUUCAGAUCACGUGGAGAUCGAUUCUCGAUCCGUAUUAAGCAAUACUGUGGUCAGGUCCUCAACAUUCAAAUCUCUUGGAGAUCAGCUCCCCAUUUGUAUUCAACAAUAUCAGUGGUUAAGGUUCACAGCAUCCCGAUCACGCUUAGAUCGACUUCCGAUCUCUAUUUUAGCAGAAUCAGUGAUGUUGAUGGCUAGAGGAUGUCUCCUAAGUGAAUGGUUUGGAUAGAUCUCCCAAUUUCAAGAAAAGGGAAUCUUAUGAUUUAAGGAUAUCCUAUGUCAAUUUCUUAUUCAA